GCGGGUUCUGGGCGGGGCGGCGCGGCCAGGACCGAACAGUUCUUUCCAACGAGUGAGCGGAGGUGGCAGGAGGUUUACGCGGGGGCUGUCGCCCGCCGGCAUCGGUCCUCCCGUGACUCCGCAGGGUCGCGGUGCACAAUGAACCCCAGUAUGAAGCAGAAGCAGGAAGGCACCCAUGGGCGCGUGCAGAGCAGUCCUGUCCCGAGGAGGACCCUGAAGAUGAUCCAGCCGUCCACAGCCGGGCCCCUCGUGGGCAGAGAGAACGAGCUGGUUAAAGGCUCAUUCAAACCGAAACAUCGCAGUGACCAGUCGGCGUCUAAGACUUGCGGCUCUGGAGCCACUGCGGCCCCGGAGCACGGUGAGAGCAAGGAGCUCGGAGGAGUUACCCCGGAGGCACUGGACCUCAUGGCUGCAGAAAACCCGUCCUCUCAGUACUGGAAGGAAGUGGCGGAGCAGCGGCGGAAGGCUCUCUAUGAAGCGCUGAAGGAGAACGAGAAGGUGUGCCAGUCACACCUGGGAGGCCUGCGGGGUGUGCGGCGGGAGGCGAGGAACGCUGAGCUGACCCACGCCACAGCUCCACAGAGAGAUCGAGCAGAAGACGAGUGAGAUCGCCCGCCUGCAGAGGGAGAACCGGGAGCUGGCGGAGGUGGCGGAGCACGUGCAGCACAUGGCGGAGGUUCUGGAGCGGCUGAAAGGAGACGCUCUGGAGAGCUUCGAAUCGCCGGACAGCGAGGGAUCUGACUCUGAGGAGGCGGCGGGCGAGGAUCCGGAGGCGGCGGCCACGGCGUGGGCAUGAGUGCAGGGCCGCCGCGUCUUCCUCCCCCGUGUGAGCUGUGCGCAGAGACUCAGAACAGACGUGCCCGUUACCGCCACGACGGUUCUUGGUGGCAGAGCAAAUAGCUGUGAUGCAGACGUCCUGUUUGAGCCCUGGGACCCUAUCGUGUUAAAAUACAAAUACUGUAUGUUUUAAUCUAUGGUGUUUUAUGUAAAUAACAUUUUCUCAGAUGUCAGACACAACUUGUGUACGUGAUAAAUAAACUUCGUUUCCUAGUGAGCAUAUGUGUUUCUUGGAGAAACGAA